rnacentral:lncRNA from 10 species
GUUUCUCUUCCCUGACCUCUGUUUCCAGACUGCUGCAAAGCACAGUGUGCCCACAAGAUUUCUGGAUGACGGGGAGGUGCAGUUCACAGCAUCAAGUCAUGCAGAAGGGAGGGGAGUUAACUUGAUGGGUGUCUGAGAUGGGCUGAUGAAAUGCAGCAUGGAAAAUUAGCCCAGUAAAACAGCUAUAAAAUUUGAAUCACAGCAUCAUAAAAAUGCCAACAGACCAAGAACAAUAAAUAUCGCAGGCAGCCAAGAACAAGCCUCCCUUGCAGAGGGACUAGGACUUAACUGAGAAAGGUGAGUAGAAGCCAUAUCACCACCUCCCAGCCUGACCUAUAAAACGUCUCAUGGGUAGUCCUGCAUGCUUUGUUGCUGCAAAUCAGAAGAUGCUUGUUAAAGAUGGAGAAGUCACAGGAUGGAAAAAGCCUAGGUUCUUGAAUUAGUUCUUGGUGGAUCUACUCACCCAUCAACAAAAAUGACCAGACUGGACUUUCAAUGAGUGAAAAAUGAACUUCUAUGGGGCUCUAACCAUUACAUAUCUUGAGGUGCAUUUACUACAGCAUAGAACUUUACCCUAAAUGAGAGAAUGGAAACCCCUAAGAAUUGACUUUAGUGACAGACCUCGAUUUCUUCAGGUAGUAUAAACGUCUCAGAUCUUUACUUACUGAUUUCAAAGAAACAAGGACAUAGCUGCUCCCAUAUCCCCAUAAAUAUUGCAGGAGUUGAAAACAUUUCUGGGAUUGCAACCUAGUCACAUUGAUCGUAGAGAAAAUGACUGUGCAGUUGAUUUGGCUGUACUGUGUCCUGGGAUGUUCCCUUCCACUACUGUUGAAUUUAUGGUCUCUUUUGGACACACAGUACAUCCAACGAAAACUGAUCU